GGACACAGCAAGGAGACCGCCCUCUGCAAACAAGGAAGAGGGCACGCACCCAGAACCUGACCAAGCUGGCACGCUGCUCUCUGACUGGUGGCCUCCAGAACUGUGGCAUAGCUGAGGCAUGGAGAAGCGGUGUGACUUGCCCAAGGUCACAGAAGUGGGAGCAGAGCACAGAUUUGAAUCCACACCCUCUGCCCAGAGCCUGAAGCCUUAACCACUUGACGGCCCCGCCUGCUGGGACUGAGGAAAACCGAAGCAGAGGGAUCACAUCUGAGGCAGACAAUGUGGAAGAUACAUUUUCUGGAGAAGUAAAAUUCUAGCAGUCUGAGAAGUCUAGAUCCAAGAGUGGUGAGUCCAGAAUCUGGUGCCAUUUUUCCAUUUGGGCCAAUUGACACUCUGAAAACAGUAAUGGAGAGGUUGAGAACUAGCUAGAGUUCUCUGUUGCCUCAAGGGGAGUAACUGGGGAGUGGAGGGUGAAAAAUAAGUUGGAUUCCAAAGAGCUACAUCCUGGGAGUAACUUAAUUAUUAAUCCUUGAUUGGGGAUUAAGGUGAUCUGCUCUUAGUCUAAGCAUCUCCCAAUAUUCAUGGCCUCAAGCAGUCCCCCUCCCACAUAGACUCUGAGCCGGGUAGUGUGACUUGCUUUGGCCAAUAACACAUUAUUAAGCAUAACGUAAGCAAAGGCUUGCAUAUUGAGGCCUGUCUUCUUGGAAUGC